rnacentral:lncRNA from 1 species
GUUUCGUCUCUACUUCCCCUUUUUCUCCCCCCUAGCUCUGUUUGCAUCUUUCCAGCUUUAAAGCUCAGUUCAUAGGGUGCAAAAAAAAAGAUACUGACAAGUCGUUAUAAAUACUGAUUUGGGGCAUGCUGCUUUGAUUCAAGUAACUAUCCACCAGCCCUGGAGGAAAAUGGGUUUACAGAGAAAAGAAGAAAAUCCAACUCUCUCUCCACAUUCAGCAGCUCUUUGUCCAGCCUCAAGAUCAGUGGCAGGCAAGUGUCAAAAAUAGUCUCUGUGCCUGCAGAAACGGCAUUCUGGAAUUUCUGAGUAGUAGCUGUAUGAGACAGAAAACCUAUACAUGCAGAUACAGAUGAAGAAUUUGUCUGUUACUCUCAAAGUGCAGACAUUUUAUGUAUUUGUGUUUAUUUUUUAAGAGGGAAGAGGAAGAUUUCCAACAGAGGUGAUUAUUUUUUUCUUCCCUCAGGAUUCUAUAAUCUCUGAAGCAAGGAAGGCUACAGCUUGUUUUGAAAAGAUACAGCUCUUGAAAAGGAACUGCCUGUGGGAACAAUGCAGUGAAGAUGCUGUCCCCCAACAGAACAAAUCCAAGUGAUAAUUGGAGCUGUUACCUAAAGCAGGCUAUAUAAAAAUCACUUGCAGAAGCCCCAUCAGAACACAGACACAUCUUAAUACUGAAAUAUAAGCACUUGCAUAUCUGUCACUUACUACCUUUUUUGUGCUGUUUCUAUCCCAGAACAUACCUGACUCUUGUGCUCACUCCCGUGCGAGCACGCAAGCGUCAAAUCUUUCUUUCAAUUCUAUUUUUCUCAUAGAUAUCUUUUACUAUUUAUCAGGCUUUGCAGUUUCCCCACGUUCUUUUGAUACACCAAUAAGCUAAUGGAAAUACAUGGCUAUUGUAGGAAAUCUGGAUUACAGUGAAAUGAGCUGAAAAGCAUGGUAUUUGGCCUCUGUUUCCUGGAAGAGACACGUCUAUGAACCACUGCAAUCCAGUACCUCCAAACAGAAAUGGGAGCUUGUGCUGCUGCUCUGUUUACCACUUCCUCCCCUGGAGUGCAGGAGAUCUGCAGAUCAGCCACACCUUGCAAUAGCUGUGUCUCCUCCUGCAAACAGCAGACAGGUUUAGCAUCAAUUCAUACAUUAUCAGAUGCAGCAACUGACAGUGGAAGGCAAGUGUUAGAUAGCAUGCAUCUGCCUGUCAUAGCUUUCAGACUCAUGAAUUUGAACACAGCCUAGCAGUGUAUGCACGUGCCAAAUGCUCACACACUAUGAACGUGUACUUCAUCAGAACUGAGCCAAUGCCAGCCAUUUAGUCCACCUGGAAAACCAAGAUGACCAGCAAGCAUAACAUAGAACAAUUUCAUACAGCAUUAUACCACAGUAAAAAAUGCACAAAAAAGCUGGCAAAAUGCAGAAGAACUGCUGGAAAAAUCUAAAUAGUAGAAAAUAAGCACUUGUCUAUAUAAAUCUCACUUUGUAUUUAUGUUGGUCUCUCUUUCAUUACAUUUCUAUACAAAACUGGUAUUGGCUCUGUUCUCAAUUAAAUCUCUCACCUCCACACAACUUGCAAUUGCAUCCAAACUUUCUGCCAUUGAGAUUCAAGAUGAUUAACUUGCAUUUAAUUUCCAUGAUUGCAGUUGCACUUAACCAACAAUGUCCCUACCUAUAUGUAUUUAUAUAGAUAUACAUAUAUAUACACACAUACACAUGACAAAUAUUGUUGCAGUUAUCCUCUCUUCCAGUGUUUGCAGUGAGUCAUCCUAGAAGGUGAAGGCAUACACCACUCCCACAACCACAAUAUUUCCAAUUGUUGCUAUUAUUGCAAUCCACAACAAUAUUGCAUCAUUUG